rnacentral:miRNA from 1 species
AUGUAGCGAGCUGAGUGGGGAGGAGAGAGGGACAGAGAGCAUGCUUGCUUUAAAAGAACCAACCGGACAGGAGCCGCUUACACUCGUGUAAGCAACUCCUUUCCUCUCCUGCUUUGCUCCUUUAAAGAAGCAGGCUCUCUGUCCCUCUCUCCUCCCCACUCAGCGGCUCUUCUC